rnacentral:rRNA from 1 species
UGGGGAAUCUUCCGCAAUGGACGAAAGUCUGACGGAGCAACGCCGCGUGAACGAAGAAGGUCUUCGGAUUGUAAAGUUCUGUGAUUCGGGACGAAAGGGUUUGUGGUGAAUAAUCAUAGACAUUGACGGUACCGAAAAAGCAAGCCACGGCUAACUACGUGCCAGCAGCCGCGGUAAUACGUAGGUGGCAAGCGUUGUCCGGAAUUAUUGGGCGUAAAGCGCGCGCAGGCGGUUUCUUAAGUCCAUCUUAAAAGCGUGGGGCUCAACCCCAUGAGGGGAUGGAAACUGGGAAGCUGGAGUAUCGGAGAGGAAAGUGGAAUUCCUAGUGUAGCGGUGAAAUGCGUAGAGAUUAGGAAGAACACCGGUGGCGAAGGCGACUUUCUAGACGAAAACUGACGCUGAGGCGCGAAAGCGUGGGGAGCAAACAGGAUUAGAUACCCUGGUAGUCCACGCCGUAACGAUGGAUACUAGGUGUAGGAGGUAUCGACCCCUCCUGUGCCGGAGUUAACGCAAUAAGUAUCCCGCCUGGGAAGUACGAUCGCAAGAUUA